rnacentral:rRNA from 1 species
UGGGGAAUUGUUCACAAUGGGCGCAAGCCUGAUGACGCAACGCCGCGUGGGGGAUGAAGGUCUUCGGAUUGUAAACCCCUGUCGAAUGGGACGAAAGACUCGCGAGUUAAUACUUUGCGAGCGUGACGGUACCGUUACAGGAAGCCACGGCUAACUCUGUGCCAGCAGCCGCGGUAAUACAGAGGUGGCAAGCGUUGUUCGGAAUUACUGGGCGUAAAGGGCGCGUAGGCGGCCUACUAAGUCAGACGUGAAAUCCCCCGGCUUAACCUGGGAACUGCGUCUGAUACUGGAAGGCUUGAGUAUGGGAGAGGGAUGUAGAAUUCCAGGUGUAGCGGUGAAAUGCGUAGAUAUCUGGAGGAACACCGGUGGCGAAGGCGGCAUCCUGGACCGGUACUGACGCUGAGGCGCGAAAGCCAGGGGAGCAAA